CUGCUUCAGAAGCACAUACACUAAAAUUGGAACUAUACAAAGAUUAGCACGGCCCGUGCACAAGGAUGACACAAAAAUUCGUGAAGCAUUCCAUAUAAAA
rnacentral:snRNA from 1 species